rnacentral:rRNA from 1 species
GUCGAACGAUGAACCUCACUUGUGGGGGGAUUAGUGGCGAACGGGUGAGAAACACGUGAGUAACCUGCCCUUGACUCUGGGAUAAGCCUGGGAAACCGGGUCUAAUACUGGAUACGACCUUCUGGCGCAUGCCAUGUUGGUGGAAAGCUUUUGUGGUUUUGGAUGGACUCGCGGCCUAUCAGCUUGUUGGUGGGGUAAUGGCCUACCAAGGCGACGACGGGUAGCCGGCCUGAGAGGGUGACCGGCCACACUGGGACUGAGACACGGCCCAGACUCCUACGGGAGGCAGCAGUGGGGAAUAUUGCACAAUGGGCGCAAGCCUGAUGCAGCGACGCCGCGUGAGGGAUGAAGGCCUUCGGGUUGUAAACCUCUUUCAGUAGGGAAGAAGCUGGCCUUUCGGGGUUGGUGACGGUACCUGCAGAAGAAGCGCCGGCUAACUACGUGCCAGCAGCCGCGGUAAUACGUAGGGCGCAAGCGUUAUCCGGAAUUAUUGGGCGUAAAGAGCUCGUAGGCGGUUUGUCGCGUCUGCCGUGAAAGUCCGGGGCUUAACUCCGGAUCUGCGGUGGGUACGGGCAGACUAGAGUGCAGUAGGGGAGACUGGAAUUCCUGGUGUAGCGGUGAAAUGCGCAGAUAUCAGGAGGAACACCGAUGGCGAAGGCAGGUCUCUGGGCUGUAACUGACGCUGAGGAGCGAAAGCAUGGGGAGCGAACAGGAUUAGAUACCCUGGUAGUCCAUGCCGUAAACGUUGGGCACUAGGUGUGGGGGACAUUCCACGUUUUCCGCGCCGUAGCUAACGCAUUAAGUGCCCCGCCUGGGGAGUACGGCCGCAAGGCUAAAACUCAAAGGAAUUGACGGGGGCCCGCACAAGCGGCGGAGCAUGCGGAUUAAUUCGAUGCAACGCGAAGAACCUUACCAAGGCUUGACAUGAACCGGAAUGAUGCAGAGAUGUGUCAGCCACUUGUGGCCGGUUUACAGGUGGUGCAUGGUUGUCGUCAGCUCGUGUCGUGAGAUGUUGGGUUAAGUCCCGCAACGAGCGCAACCCUCGUUCCAUGUUGCCAGCGGGUUAUGCCGGGGACUCAUGGGAGACUGCCGGGGUCAACUCGGAGGA